UACGUAGGGGCUAGCGUUAUCCGGAAUUACUGGGCGUAAAGGGUGCGUAGGUGGUUUCUUAAGUCAGAGGUGAAAGGCUACGGCUCAACCGUAGUAAGCCUUUGAAACUGGGAAACUUGAGUGCAGGAGAGGAGAGUGGAAUUCCUAGUGUAGCGGUGAAAUGCGUAGAUAUUAGGAGGAACACCAGUUGCGAAGGCGGCUCUCUGGACUGUAACUGACACUGAGGCGCGAAAGCGUGGGGAGCAAACAGGAUUAGAUACCCUGGUAGUCCCUGAG
rnacentral:rRNA from 1 species